GCGUCGGUGGCAGAGUGGUCAAUUGCACAGCGCUGUAAACGCUGCGACUCCGGUCUACGAAGGUUCGAAUCCUUCCCGGCGCA
rnacentral:tRNA from 1 species